rnacentral:rRNA from 1 species
AAAGGAAUAGACGGGGGCCCGCACAAGCGGAGGAGCAUGUGGUUUAAUUCGAUGAUACGCGAGGAACCUUACCUAGACUCAAAUGCAGAGGGAAUUAUUCAGAAAUGGAUAAGCUUUUCGGAGCCGUCUGCAAGGUGCUGCAUGGUUGUCGUCAGCUCGUGCCGUGAGGUGUCAGGUUAAGUCCUAUAACGAGCGCAACCCCUGCACACAGUUGCCAUCAUUCAGUUGGGGACUCUGUGUGGACUGCCGGCGCAAGCCGCGAGGAAGGUGGGGAUGACGUCAAAUCAGCACGGCCCUUACGUCUAGGGCGACACACGUGCUACAAUGGUCGGUACAGAGGGCAGCUACCCAGCGAUGGGAUGCGAAUCUCGAAAGCCGAUCUCAGUUCGGAUCGGAGUCUGCAACUCGACUCCGUGAAGUUGGAUUCGCUAGUAAUCGCGUAUCAGCCAUGACGCGGUGAAUACGUUCCCGGGCCUUGUACACACCGCCCGU